rnacentral:misc_RNA from 1 species
CUGCGCUUUGGUGUUGCAGUCACCCUUCUGUUCAAACAGUUCCAGGCAGAGGCACGCUCCUUCAGUUCUUCCCUUUCGAAAAUUCCCAACCCUUAUAAAAGGCUACAACCCAUUUUUCCUUCAAAAUUUUUUGCUGCCAUCGUCGUCUCUGGAAGCUCCAUUGUAGUCAAUCUCUGCUAUUCCAACUUCCAAGGACUGGUUUGUUCUAUCCCUUCACAUCCUCUGCUGUUCCACGGACUAUGUGCAGAAACAAAAAUACAACUCUUUGCCCAUUAGAACUGGCUCGUCAAAAGGUUUUGACACCUAAUUGAACUGUGGGCUUCUAGUAGCGAAGAGUUCACUCAAAAACAAUCAUGGAUGUCGAUUCACAACCAACUAUGGAGGAAACUAUAUUGGUUGGAGAUGAUCUGAUGAUGGGGCCACCAUCUCCUCUCAUCCCACCAGAAAUUGCCUCUCACGUGCUUGAAGGUGUUGAUUUGUGCGAUGGGAUUUUAAGGAACCUAUUUUUGUGUUUGCAAAUCAACGACAUUGAGCCUUUUUGUCAAGAUGAGCUUGUUUUAUAUCGUCAGUGUGCUGAAAAGAGGGAUAUGGAAAUUAGGCAACGGCUUCAAGAUAGUGAGCGUAAAUUGGGGUUGUCAAUGCCUUUAGAUGAAGCAAAGGAAAGAGCUUCUCAGCUUGAAUCAGAAGUCACAUCACUGGAUAGGCGCUUGAUUCUUGCUAGCGGAAUUGAAGGCAUUGAAGGAUUUCGCCAGAGAUGGAGCUUGCAUGGUCGUCUUACAGAUACAAAGAGAAGGUUGGAGUCUUUAAAGCAGGGCAUUGAGAACAGAAAGAAGGAUGUGAAUAAGGAUGAGCCUGCUCCAAGUUCAACUAACAAAAGAUGGUUCUUCUGGUGACAUUAAUGCUGCAUUUGUAUAUUGCCAUUUUUUAGUAAAAUCCCCCAGCAACCUGUGACAAUACAAUAGUAAUGAACUCAAUACAGCCUAAAAAGGCCAGAGUCGAAGUGAAUUAUGUGUUACUACUUCAUUUUCAACGAGUCUUGUGAACGCCCCAAAUUUGAGUAUACAUGCUGUGAUGCUACAUGUGAAGUUGUGAACACCGUGCAGGAUAUUUGAUUUAUUCCCAUUAGUCCUUGGAAUAGAUUAG